AGAGUUUGAUCAUGGCUCAGAACGAACGCUGGCGGCAGGCUUAACACAUGCAAGUCGAGCGCACAGUUUACUGUGAGCGGCAGACGGGUGAGUAACGCGUGGGAAUCUACCUUGAGCUACGGGAUAACAGAGAGAAAUUUCUGCUAAUACCGUAUGUGGCCUUUGGGCGAAAGAUUUAUCGGCUUAAGAUGAGCCCGCGUUGGAUUAGCUGGUUGGUGGGGUAAAGGCCUACCAAGGCGACGAUCCAUAGCUGGUCUGAGAGGAUGAUCAGCCACACUGGGACUGAGACACGGCCCAGACUCCUACGGGAGGCAGCAGUGGGGAAUAUUGGACAAUGGGCGCAAGCCUGAUCCAGCCAUGCCGCGUGAGUGAAGAAGGCCUUAGGGUUGUAAAGCUCUUUCACCGGUGAAGAUAAUGACGGUAGCCGGAGAAGAAGCCCCGGCUAACUUCGUGCCAGCAGCCGCGGUAAUACGAAGGGGGCUAGCGUUGUUCGGAUUUACUGGGCGUAAAGCGCGCGUAGGCGGAUAGAUAAGUCAGAGGUGAAAUCCCGGGGCUCAACCCCGGAAUUGCCUUUGAUACUGUUUAUCUUGAGUGCAGAAGAGGUAAGUGGAAUUCCGAGUGUAGAGGUGAAAUUCGUAGAUAUU
rnacentral:rRNA from 2 species